rnacentral:misc_RNA from 1 species
UUUCCGUAGGUGAACCUGCGGAAGGAUCAUUACUGAGUUCUCCUGCCCGUAAAAGGGUAGCAACUCCCACCCGUGUGUACCUUAUACCUUUGUUGCUUUGGCGGGCCGCCUCGGCGCCGGCUCCGGCUGGAUCGUGCCCGCCAGAGGACCUCCAACUCUGUCGUUUAGUGUCGUCUGAGGAAACUAUCUAAUAGUUAAAACUUUCAACAACGGAUCUCUUGGCUCUGGCAUCGAUGAAGAACGCAGC